rnacentral:misc_RNA from 1 species
UGAUAGCUCCACUAGUAACUAUUUUAGAGUUCAACUGAUUUCAUUUUCUUUCCGCUUAGAUUGAUGUUCACUGCUUUUGCCUUCACCACUCAUUGUCUGUCACUGUCGGUGUCCGACUUUGCUGCUGCUUCUACUUGUUUAUUUCCUUUUUUCUUAAUGUUCUUUAUUUGCUAUGUUAUUGGGCAAGAAACAGGACCUUCCGCUCACUAGAUCUGACUCCGAAAUGUAAUCUUUUAGCUCAGUCUCGAUUACUUGUUCGUCCAGAUGCUGAAUCUGAAUCUGAAUGUACUUUAUUUACUUCUUGAACACACCCGCGCCAAAAGGGGCUAUAUCAAAUUAUUUUGAAUUUAAUAUUAUUUCUGGAGGUUGAAAGUAUUGGUUUUUAUCGAAAGCUUUGGAUGUUACAUGAAGUUCAGCAUGUGCCCCAAUUGAGAUUUGUGUUCUGGAAAGAAAUGUUGCGGACUUCCCUCGAGGUUGCCCUCUUUUCUAAUGAUAGGAUGACACUUCCUAGAGUCCACAAGGUUGUUGGAAUGGAGUGUGGCAUAGAUGCUGAUGCACCUUUAGAUUAUGCAACUAUUCAGAUUUUUCCAGCCCAAAACAGAUAUGAAGUAUUUGUUUGUGGUGAUGAUGAAGUGGAGAAACUAGCCACUGGAUUGCUGGAGCAUCUCUUGCCGCAUUUACCAGGGGUAAACAACUUGCACAGUAGAGGAUCUAAUGCCAACUUUAAACUUCAAGUAUCAAGACACAAAGAUACAACAUGGUUCACAAAGUCCACCUUAAACAGAUUUCUGCAAAUUGUUGCUUCCCCGGAUUUAAUGAAUUCCAGUAAGCUUGUUGAAGGUGAAAUGUCACAGUUGGAGGAGGCCAGAAAAUUUCACCUUUCUUUAUAUGCUCAGGAGCGCUUGGAUCAUUUUGAAAGUGGGGAAACAGGUAAGUUGUAGUUUAGAGAACUGGAAAUAAAUCAAGGGUGAAUGCUUUUUCUUACAUCUGGAAAGAUGAUUAGAAUAACAUUUCCAUAAUCCAUUAGUUUUGUUAUAGUUAAUUUAUGCCAGAGGCUCUAACAAAUCUGGUUUGGAAGCAAGAAAAUAGUGGUUAUUGACAACAAGAUCUAUAAUGAAAUUCUGAUGCUUUUUUUUUUAACUGUUUUUAAGGAACUAGUAAGUGUUCAUUAAUGAGCAAAACAUUUAAAAUGUAAUUUUUUAAGUAUUAUAAAUUUGAAUUGAACGGGCGGAGGUGAAUAAGUGGGCUGAGGCAAGAGUCCAUGAUGAGUGAGAUGGGUUUACUCGGGCUAGGACCAACCAUUGCUAAAAGGUUAGAACUAACCAAUUAGAUAGCUAGCCCUUCACCCUUAUAAGUCCUUUGAAUUCUUUGUUAUCUUAUGUGGGACUCUUGACACUCUCCCUCAAGUGGCUACUAUUUUGGUUGCACUUGAACUUUCUAAUCCUCUCCCUGAAAUGAAUUGAAUUGGGCCAGACCUGCUUUGAUGCCAUAAAAGAGUUUAGAAAGAUGAAAAAAAAUAUACAGAUUUUAACUCCUAAAAUGAUAAUCUCUUUCUUCUUUCUAAACUCUUUCAUUAAGUAUUGUAAUUUCCCCCUAAUAUUUAUGUUUUUGCAUUAUCAAAGACGCUAAGGGUUUGGCUGAGUUCCUUACUGGCCUUGGACUGGCACCUCAUUUAGUCCUGGCUAGGAUCAAAACCUAUUAAUGGAUACUUAAGUUAACAGAUAAAGAAAGACUGUCCAUCCCUCUUCAAUCUAAGAAAGUUAUUCUUAAACUUGUGAGAUUACCUCAAAGGGAUUUAACUGUGCUUCUUCUAUCGAACUAAAAUUGGUAAAGGAGAAGACAAUCAUUUUUAGUUUGUCAUAUCCCUUAUAAUAUUGCAAUAAAAAUCUGUCCUUGGUCUCCAUCUUUUUACUUCUGUUUAUGUUCAUUUCUUUUUUAUGUGUAAAUUUUGAUUUUAUUUUUCUGUGUUUACAUGUGACUUAUUUUCCAAUUAAAUUAAAAAAAUUUCAAAGAAUUUAAGCAUAUAAGUUGAUACAUUUGUUAAGUGCACAUCAGCUAGUAGCACCAUACAGGCAUGUUGACAUGACACGGUAUGAUACUGCUAUAGGAUUUUGCGAAAAUAUUUUGGAUACUACAAUUUUCAGGAAAUAUUUAUGGUUCUAUGUUCCCUCCUUCGGACAGAUGGAUGCAACUCAAUUGAGACAGUACCAACACUCAAAGUAAUUGCUUUUGCAUACAUUUCUUUAUAAGUUCCAAUUUUUUUUUUGGUCUUCUGAAGUUUCCCUGUUCAUAGUUUGAAAAAGAUUAUUCUUAUUUUUACUCUGUGAUUGUGAAUCAUAAUGACAACUAAUGUGUUUUGUUUUAAUCCUAUAUAUAGCCUGAAGUAAAAAUUGCAUCAUCAGAUACGUCAAAGGAUGAAUUACUGCGAGCUAUGGACUUGAGGCUCACAGCAUUGAGAAGGGAGUUAGCUGCAGCACUAAACCAAGCUGCUGGUGCCACCUGCUCCUCUAAAGAUAUUAUCAAUAUAAUAGAAUUUUGUGUCAAUUUUGGAGCAGCAGACUUAAAGAAUUGUUUAUGCAAAUGCUUUGAACUGAGCCAUAACGGUGACACAGCUGUACAAGCGAAUGAUGACAAGCACUCAUUUACAUGCAUGUCGAUAAGGAACAAUGCAAAUAAGACAAAUGGAGAAACUCAAAUAUCAAGAUCCAUGCAAUCACAAACACCAGUAAAAUAUGGUGUUUCACCAGCGAUGGUUGCUCAGGUUGAGCGACAAAGCUCAACUGAAAGUGAGGAGUCUUCUAACUCAAGCGAUGAAAAUCAAAUAUCUGCGGAAAGGAGUCGAACUCUUACAAGAUCUGUGCAACCAAGAAGGUCAGCAUCACCGAUGCGGAGGAUUCAAAUAGGGAGAACUGGAUCGCAUCGGGCUCCUGCAUUAUCCAUUAAGAACCUUGGUCAUUAUCCUGCUAGGGAGAGGAUUUCAUCUUAUAGAGAUGGAGCUGCAAACAGCAGUGAAGAUGAAGGAUCUGAACAAAUCAGUAAGAAACCUGAGAAUAAUGUGCGCAGGAUGACUGUUCAAGAUGCAAUCAAUCUUUUUGAAAGUAAACAGAAAGAUCAAAGUGCAGAUGCUCAAAGAAGAAUCUGCACAUCAAAUCUCUCUCUCUGCACAAAUAAAUCUGUGCUAAGAAGAUGGAGUGCUAGUACAAUGGAAGGUUCUGCUCCCUACCAGCCAGAACUUGUUUCUGAAGACUCUGCUCUACUGUCUUGCGAUGAUGUUGUGGAUGGAGAGAAUUCAAAUCUUUCCAUAAAAGAAAAUUUGGAGUCUGAUUUUACAUCUGGAUGUCAAAAUCUUCUUGAGACAACUAAAGUUGAUGUUGAGUUGAAGAAACUGGAAACAAAAACACAUGAUCAAGUGGACAUGGAAGUAGAAACUAAUGCAACACAAGGUCAGGAAAGUAAUGGAACACCAACAGCCUCUGCUGAAUGGACUCAACAAAAGGAAGUGGAGUUGAACCAGAUGCUGAAGAAAAUGAUGGAAAGUCAGCCUGUGAGAACCAGGAAGCCUCAAACUAGCAGAAACAAAAACAUCCCUUCUGACCAUAGAGGUGGAUUUUAUGACCACUACAAGGAGAAGAGGGAUGAGAAACUUCGAGGAGAGAAUGCUGGAAAAAAAGCGGAAAAAGAAGCACGAUUUAGAGCAUUGCAGCAAACUCUUGAUGAGCGGAAAGCGGAAAUGGUCUCCAGGAGUGUGAAGGAUAUAGGUAAAAAGCAUCCUUCACCCAAACCCCAAAAAUCACUCAAAAAUCCAUCUCAACCUGCAAAUCUCAGGAAUGAGAGCCCAAAAGCCUCUGUUACAAGGAAGGUUUCAUCCAAAACAUCAACGUUGCCUGCUACUCAUAAAUCAUGGCCAACAACGCCUUCAAUUAGAGUGGCAGGACCAUCACCGUCGAAAACACCAGCUAGGAUCUCACCAUCUGGUACCACACCAACACGUCGGAAGCAUCAAACAACAUCAUCCCUUCCCCGAUCAAGUGCUAAAGUAGAGAGAUCCCAGCCAUGCCACAGAAAUGUGAAGGAAAGCCAGAUUGAUACUGACAGGAGCCUGAAAGGGGUGAAAGAAAAGAUGCAGCAAAAAGUGACAAAAACUGGAAAAACAAGAAAAACAAAAGUUGCAGCAGCUAGUGCAGACUCUGCUGGUAUGGUUCAGUCAAAGCCUAGUUUCUAUAAUAAAAUGACCAAGAAAAGCAGCAUUGUACCACUGGAAUCAAAACCUUUUCGCCAUAAAGGAUCUGGAGUUGCUGUUGGCGUAGGUCCCAUUGUGAACAAGACCAAACAUUCUUCUCAGUUGGAGGAUUCUUCCAUGACCUAUGGGAAUAUGAUUGAAACUCUAAGCAAUAAGGUGACUGUUGAUGCUUCUUCCCUUUUGAGUCAGGAUCAAGAUCAGGAUAUUGUAUUAUCUGAUAAAGCAAAUCCUGCUAUGGGUUUAGAAACAGUGGUUGCUAGUCAUCAGAAUGGUGAUGAGUCUGAAAAUAUCAAUAAGCUCGCCACUGAUGAUGACAGCUUCAAAGAUACAGCAGAGUCUUCGGCAAUGAUUCAAUCCCAAGAAGAAUCUGUUAUCUCUCCUAUUGCAUGGGAGGAAAUAGAUGAACAUCAGAACAUGCAGAACUCGUAUGAUGAUUGCACAUCUCAACUUGCUUCUCCGGUCCAUGUUGCCCCACUUGGAUUGUCAAGUCCCCGAGUUCGUCAUUCUUUGUCACAGAUGCUGCAAGAAGACAAUAGUGAACCUGAUAUAGUUGAGUGGGGAAAUGCUGAAAAUCCUCCUGCUAUGGUCUACCAAAAAGAUGCCCCUAAAGGGUUAAAGAGGCUCUUGAAAUUUGCCCGGAAGAGUAAAGGGGAUGCAAAUUUAACAGGUUUCUCUAGCCCAUCUGUAUUUUCUGAAGGAGAGGAUGAUGCUGAGGAAUCUAAAGCCAUCAGUAAGAGAAGCACUGACAACCUGCUGAAAAAGGCAGCAAUUCAUUCAAAGAAUAAUGGACAGCAAAAUACUAAUUUCUUUGCGGGCCAUGAAAAAGAUAUAGAUCCUCAUGAACUUCUCUCUGCUCAAUCAAACUCCAGCAAAUUUGAAGUCCAAAGUUCACAUAAGUUGCACAAGGGCCAUGUUUCAACAGCAGCUUCUACAACUAAAGCAACAAGGUCCUUCUUCUCUCUUUCAGCGUUUAGGGGCAGCAAACCAAAUGAGAUGAAGUUCCAUUGAUUGAGAUUAUUGUAAAUUCAAUAAUCUGUUCUCCUUGAAGCCACUCGCAGGCUGGAUUUGUCUUGAGGGGAAAAAAUCAUUAGAUUUCUUUCACCAUCAUCUAAUUUGUAUGGUUCAGCAUUUGAGGAACUAUUAAACGCCUGUGCAGUUGUGUACUAUCAGGAUCUGCAUACUGCUGAAAUCAGGGGGUUCUUGCAUGUUAAUCACGUUGUUAAUGUCGAGUCUUUGAGCAUUAUUAACUUUAUUUUACCUUUUACGUCAUGCAUGCAUCUUAUAGUUUUUUAACUAAAUUUUUUAGCUAUUGUGUCGAGCAAGCUAAGUUUGGAACUCACCUUUGUCUUUCCAUGGGUUGGAGUAUUUAAUAACAUUCUAAACUGCUCUGGGCCUCUGGCUUAACAUGUACACAGGAUUUAGGGACUACUUGGUCAACUAAGAAAGAGUGUUGUAUACUGAUCUUAUGAUCUUCGAGUUAACCCUUUUUAUUUUUUUAAUAAUUAGCUUAAAACUCAAAGCGGCUCAAAUACCGACUGAGCUAAAGCUUAUUGGUAUUUUCAAGCUAACCUUUUACUAUGCAUUUAACCAUUUUCUGCUGCUUGUAUUUUGUGUUGGCCUACUUUAAACACUCGUUA